AAAGAGAGAGAACACAGAGCAAUCCUCUCCCACUCAGCUACUCCCAGACACACGCUGGCACACGCAUACGUGUACUUCUUCAGUAACGGUUCCUACAGGAUAUCCCGGCUGCAGGAUGCAAGUGACAGCACUGUGCUUAGUGACUCUGAUAUUCUUCCACCAGGUGUUCUGCAGCCCUGUGGUGAAACAUGGUGGCCAGUCUGAUGCCCUGCAGGACCCAGUGCCCCUGAAGCGCGUGGCCCGCAUGUCACCCAUAUGGAGGACCAUAGGAACCAAGCCCUAUAAGGCUUACUGCCAGGAUAACCUUGAGUGCUCCUCACGGCUCUGCAGGAAUGGCCAUUGUUCCUACAGCCAUGCUGUUCAUUCCAAGAAGUAAAAAACCAGAAGCUGGUUCUGUCAUGACUACAUGACUGCAACACAUACUAAUAUGAUUUUAUCAUUCCUUUAAAAGAAAGUGGACAUUGAGGGAAAGUAUGUGAGGCUGCGUUUGCUGUUCUGAUGGGGAAAAAAGGACGUUUAAAAGGUGUGAGUAUUUUGUCUGAUCAAGAAUUCUCAAAUAGAUAUUUUGGAAAAAUUCAAACACAAAAUUUUGUUUCAAACAAGACAUGACCACCAUAAGACACCAAAAAAGUCUACUCUUGAAUCUAGCUUUGGAUAUAUGUUAGAGGCAAAAUUUAAACUAAACUAAAACUAAAAAACAACUAUUUGUUUAUAAAAGAAAAGAUAGUUCGAGCAGAGGUCAAUAUUGUGGUCUCUGUGCUAAAACUUUUGUUUGUCUUUGAUUAUUAGGCUAAUUUAAUUUGUCUAUACUGGAGAUACUACCUAGCUAAAAAAAAAAGAGAGAAAGAGAGAAACUCUUGUGACAUAUAUUUUUCUUGAAAACAAAAUAAUUCCAGUAUUCGUUAUAUAUGAACUUGAAUAUACAUUCCAAUAACAGUCAUGAGCAGAGCUUAGGCACACAUCAAAUUGAAAUGUCAGUGAAGCCCUGGCAUCCAGAGACAAGAUGGAGAGGGAAAUCAACCAUUAAUGUAUAAUCGAGAGAGCUGCUCAACUUAUACUUUUCAAUUUUACUUAUAUGGCUACAGAGAAGCUAUUUUAACCAAUUACAAAUAUGUACUGUAUUGCAUUUUAACCAAAUCUGAGUAUUUUUAAAUGAAAUUAUAAUUACAUAUAUUUUUGAGAAUGUAGAAGUUAUGUAUUUCUUUAAAGUAAAGCUGAAUAGUUUUGACGCUCCUGAAAUAUAACUUUUGGUUAGUAUAUCUGAGCAUAUUGCAUUAUUUAAUUCCAGUACUUAAUUAUUAAUUAAUUCCAGACUAGAUGCCUUCCACUCACUGCAAAUACUAAAAUAGGCAAAAUUACUUUUGGGAGAAACAUUUUUUAUAUAUUAAUUGUGUAUUAAACAUUAUUUGUAUAUAUCUUAUAUACUCAGCAAUGCACUUAAAACACUCAGAGAGCCACCAAGCAACCAUAUGUAAUGGAUAUGUGAGAAGCUACUUUGCCAAAUUUGUACUUUUCUGAGGGAAAAUAUUGAUGAGGACUGAAAACCUGCUCAGUUUCCCAUGAAGCAAAUACCGUUAGAAAGUAAUGCUAACAGAUAUCUGCAAACUCAAGUAGUAUUUUAUUCUGUUCUUUUGUAAUGUGAAUCUGUAUGUAGAAUAUUUGCACAACAGUGUACUGUGAAAAGAAUUAUGCACUGUGGUUUGCCUCAUGUCUGUGUCCUGUAACUGGCUCCACAAACGUUUUAUUUACAUUGCCAAAUGUUCCAAAACAGAGUGUUCCAAACCCAGGCCUGGGCCUUCUGCUUCCAGCUUAAAUGUUGCAACUACAAUUUUCUGACUUCAGUGAGCUGGAAACGGAUCAGCUAUUAGAUAGAUUUGUCACAACUGAAUAUGCACACUAUGCAGAAUAAAUAUACUGUCCCACAUUACAUUAGGAACUGGCUACUCAUUCUUGUCUGUUCUCAGACAUAUUUACUCAUUGACAAGUUCACGUUCUGUAAUGUGCCCUGUGAGAAAACAUUUUUUUACACAUUUACAUGAUUGAUUAAUUGAUUGAAUGACUGGUGGAAUCACGCAGGGUCCCAGCUGCUGAAAGUUCGUAAUCCUAGGGACUGAAAGUAAACUUAUGUUGAAGAGCUAAGAGCCAAGUUGAAGAAGCCAACUGUCGUUCUAGUAACUUUAAAGACAAAAAUUUUGGAAGCAUAUUUAGGUUAGUUUGAUCUGGCUUUAAAUACAUCUUUUGAGCAGGAUGGAUCAAUCACAUGACAAUUGCACUAAUGUUUUGUGUUAAUGCUUUAUUGGGAUCAGAGACUCACCAUUGUUAUUAUUAUUCUUUUUUUAAAAGCAAGCACAUAAAUUAAAAUCUUAUAUUAUGUGGCUUUCUUGUACUGUAUUUCAGAUUUUAUGAUCAGUAGGAUUGCUGCUUAUCAAAGACAAUAAAGCAUUAUUGAGAUUGCCUAAUAUAGCAAACUUACCGUGUCAUCCAGAAUUUUUAGCAUCCUUGGUAAACAUGAGCAAAAAAGACUAUGAAAAAAUGUCAUUGUUUAUUAUUAGCUUGAUCAAAAUAUGUGAUGAAUGUAAUCUUUAUUGAGGUCAAAUUGUUCAAAUAAAAUUUUUUCUUCAACAAGAAAUAA